GACGAACGCUGGCGGCGUGCUUAACACAUGCAAGUCGAGCGGUAAGGCCCUUUCGGGGGUACGACGAGCGGCGAACGGGUGAGUAACACGUGGGUGACCUGCCCUCAGCUCUGGGAUAAGCCUGGGAAACCGGGUCUAAUACUGGAUAUGACUCCAUGACGCAUGUUGUGGGGUGGAAAGCCUUGUGCGGCUGAGGAUGGGCCCGCGGCCUAUCAGCUUGUUGGUGGGGUGAUGGCCUACCAAGGCGACGACGGGUAGCCGGCCU
rnacentral:rRNA from 1 species